UAAUAGACUAGUGAGAACUGGGCUUAGAGGAGUCAGCGUAAAGGGAAGGCUAAGGAUGCGCCGGUUCUGGAGAGUGGAGAAAAACGCCUUCUCCUUUACCCCUUCAGGCACCUUAUUUUUUUUUUAAAAAAAAAAACAACAACCUUUUAUUUAAAAGUCUAACCUUGGGAGUUUGCUGGGGGGUUGUUUUGAUGGCCUUGGGGAGUAUCCACACCUGUUCAACUGACCACAGCAACUCUUAUAAAAGAACACAUCGAAUUGAGUGUCUUACAGUUCCGAGGUUCAGUCCAUCAUCAUCAUGAUGGGUCAUGGCACCAUGCAGGCAGACAUGGUGCUGGACAGGGAGAACUUGGUGGAUAUUCUCCAGGAUCCUGAUGCUUCUGCUCACUGGUGACACCUGCCCCUUCUGCUCAUAUUUCCUGAGUCAACAUGACCACGCCUGACUUUGAAGUGACUGUAGGCAUUCUAUGUUACAGUGAGACUAAAAGAAAGGAGAGAAAUAUUGCAGUGAUGCUGUAGGUAUUCUGCACUGUUGAAAGCAGAUGAUUCCCAUCGGCUACUGAGUCACAGAGACCAAGAUACAGCUGUAGUCUUGGUCGAGGUAAGGCACAACUCAUCUCCUGAGUCAUUCACACGGGGCAGGAGCCUAAAGACCAACAAGAAGAGAUGCUGAGAUGACGCUCUUCUCCCGAAUCGAGGAGAUGGACGGUUCACCAGGGACCAAGAGAGAAAGCAUCUCCAUCAUGGCCAUGACAGUCCCGAAGCAAGUCCCUUGGCAACGUUGUGCUUGGGAAGAUCCACAUCUAGAAAUCAUGGCAGGUCUUUCUGAGUCAGGGUGGAAGAGGAAGGGACCAGCAGGACACAGGGAUAUCCAGAAUAACUGCCGUGGAAGGACGGUCCCCUUGCCAACUGGCACUUAUCAAAGGACGUUGAGGGAGAGGGACAGAGUGCCUAGAUAUGAGCCUUCAUCAAGCCUUAUGAAGACCCUUCUCCAACAGGAAGCGCUCAGAUGAAGAAAUGAUGCAUCCGAUAGGAUUUUUCCUCCAAAUUGGUGCUGGUCCAGGGGUUGGCAAUAAGGGUCCCUUGGAUGUGUCUUUCCCAUUGCUGAUUCCAAUUAAUAAAGUUCUGUUGGAUCUA